AGUGAACGCUGGCGGUAGGCCUAACACAUGCAAGUCGAACGGCAGCACAGUAAGAGCUUGCUCUUACGGGUGGCGAGUGGCGGACGGGUGAGGAAUACAUCGGAAUCUACUUUUUCGUGGGGGAUAACGUAGGGAAACUUACGCUACUACCGCAUACGACCUACGGGUGAAAGCAGGGGAUCUUCGGACCUUGCGCGAUUGAAUGAGCCGAUGUCGGAUUAGCUAGUUGGCGGGGUAAAGGCCCACCAAGGCGACGAUCCGUAGCUGGUCUGAGGGGAUGAUCAGCAACACUGGAACGGGGAAACGGUCCAGACUCCUACGGGAGGCAGCAGUGGGGAAUAUUGGACAAUGGGGGCAAGCCUGCUCCAGCCAUACCGCGUGGGUGAAGAAGGCCUUCGGGUUGUAAAGCCCUUUUGUUGGGAAAGAAAAGCAGCAGGUUAAUACCCCGCUGUUCUGACGGUACCCAAAGAAUAAGCACCGGCUAACUUCGU
rnacentral:rRNA from 1 species